GGAGGAGACAGAGAGGGGCGACUAGAACAUGAGUUAAACAUCCCAGAAAUGGUCACCUGAAACGGCUCUGCAGGGUGUAUUUUUCUUCUGGCAAGGUUUACCAUGACAGCAGUAAGUCAGUAGGUGCCAAGUGUUCUUCCUUAAAACUCAUGCAUGGAAAGCUUCUAUUUCCUUGGGUGUUACAAGCUGAUCCCAACCAAGUCUUCCUCACAAAUCAAAGGCUAGAGCAGAGGUACAAGAGUGACCAGCAGCACCUCCCUGCUGCCUUUGGGGAGUGAGAAGAGGAGCCCAAACCAGCUCAGGUGCUCUCCAGAAGGCACUGCCUGGCACUGCUCAGCUCUUGUCUCUCCUCCCUCCAAAAUGCUGGGCUUUGUUGUUUGUUUUGUGGUUGGGUCUUUUUCUCCCUCUUAACUCAGCCUUCAUUUCUCC